AUUAGACUAGCUGACGCCCGCGACUUCGUCCGCGUGAACUACACAAAUUUUCAAACCCCUAUUUUACCCCGUGAGGGGUUGAAUUUUCAAAAAUCCUUUGUCAGCGGAUGCCUACGUCGUAAUAACCAUGCACAAUCCGUCCAGUAGUUUGAGCUGUGUGUUGAUAGAUCUGUCAGUCAGUCAGCUUUUCCUUUUAUAUAAUAAA